GUAUGCCUGGCUCCCUGUAUGCCAUAUGCUGAGCCCAUCGAGUAUCGAUGACCUCCGUGGAUGGCGUAUGAGGAGCCAUGCAUAU
rnacentral:pre_miRNA from 14 species